rnacentral:rRNA from 1 species
GAUGAACGCUGGCGGCGUGCCUAAUACAUGCAAGUCGAGCGAACGGACGAGAAGCUUGCUUCUCUGAUGUUAGCGGCGGACGGGUGAGUAACACGUGGAUAACCUACCUAUAAGACUGGGAUAACUUCGGGAAACCGGAGCUAAUACCGGAUGAUAUUUUGAACCGCAUGGUUCAAAAGUGAAAGACGGUCUUGCUGUCACUUAUAGAUGGAUCCGCGCUGCAUUAGCUAGUUGGUAAGGUAACGGCUUACCAAGGCAACGAUGCAUAGCCGACCUGAGAGGGUGAUCGGCCACACUGGAACUGAGACACGGUCCAGACUCCUACGGGAGGCAGCAGUAGGGAAUCUUCCGCAAUGGGCGAAAGCCUGACGGUGCAACGCCGCGUGAGUGAUGAAGGUCUUCGGAUCGUAAAACUCUGUUAUUAGGGAAGAACAUAUGUGUAAGUAACUGUGCACAUCUUGACGGUACCUAAUCAGAAAGCCACGGCUAACUACGUG